rnacentral:rRNA from 1 species
GAUGAACGCUAGCGGCAGGCCUAAUACAUGCAAGUCGGACGGGAUCCAUCGGAGAGCUUGCUCGAGGAUGGUGAGAGUGGCGCACGGGUGCGUAACGCGUGAGCAACCUACCUCUAUCAGGGGGAUAGCCUCUCGAAAGAGAGAUUAACACCGCAUAAUAUAAUCUUCCGGCAUCGUUAGAUUAUUAAAUAUUUAUAGGAUAGAGAUGGGCUCGCGUGACAUUAGCUAGUUGGUAAGGUAACGGCUUACCAAGGCGACGAUGUCUAGGGGCUCUGAGAGGAGAAUCCCCCAAACUGGUACUGAGACACGGACCAGACUCCUACGGGAGGCAGCAGUAAGGAAUAUUGGUCAAUGGGCGGAAGCCUGAACCAGCCAUGCCGCGUGCAGGACGACUGCCCUAUGGGUUGUAAACUGCUUUUGCAGGGGAAUAAACCUCAUUACGUGUAAUGAGCUGAAUGUACUCUGAGAAUAAGGAUCGGCUAACUCCGUGCCAGCCGCCGCGGUAAAAC